ACGUCUCGACGUGCAACGCGAAGAACCUUACCUGGUCUUGACAUCCACAGAACUUUCCAGAGAUGGAUUGGUGCCUCUCGGGAACUGUGAGACAGGUGCUGCAUGGCUGUCGUCAGCUCGUGUUGUGAAAUGUUGGGUUAAGUCCCGCAACGAGCGCAACCCUUAUCCUUUGUUGCCAGCGGUUAGGCCGGGAACUCAAAGGAGACUGCCAGUGAUAAACUGGAGGAAGGUGGGGAUGACGUCAAGUCAUCAUGGCCCCCUUACGACCAGGGCUACACACGUGCUACAAUGGCAUAUACAAAGAGAAGCGACCUCGCGAGAGCAAGCGGACCUCAUAGAAGUAUGUCGUAGUCCGGAUUGGAGUCUGCAACUCGACUCCAUGAAGUCGGAAUCGCUAGUAAUCGUAGAUCAGAAUGCUACGGUGAAUAUCGUUCCCGGGCCUUGUACACACCGCCCGUCACACCAUGGGAGUGGGUUGCAAAAGAAGUAGGUAGCUUAACCUUCGGGAGGGCYUUAGCCU
rnacentral:rRNA from 1 species